rnacentral:rRNA from 1 species
GACGAACGCUGGCGGCGUGCUUAACACAUGCAAGUCGAACGGGAUCCGGGCUUUCGGGUUUGGUGAGAGUGGCGAACGGGUGAGUAACACGUGAGUAACCUGCCCCCUUCUUUGGGAUAACGUCGGGAAAUCGGCGCUAAUACUGGAUAUUCUUGCUGCAUCUCCUGGUGUGGUUUGGAAAGGGUUUCUGGUGGGGGAUGGGCUCGCGGCCUAUCAGCUUGUUGGUGGGGUGAUGGCCUACCAAGGCUUUGACGGGUAGCCGGCCUGAGAGGGUGUCCGGCCACACUGGGACUGAGACACGGCCCAGACUCCUACGGGAGGAAGCAGUGGGGAAUAUGGAACAAUGGGCGCAAGCCUGAUGCAGCGAGGCCGCGGGAGGGAUGACGGCCUUCGGGUUGUAAACCUCUUUCAGUAUGGAACAAGGAUCCUUCAUUUGGGGGGUUUGAGGGUACGUGCAGAAGAAGCGCCGGCUAACUACGUG